AAAUGGAGUGGGGAGAUGUGGAAGUGAAAGAAAGGGAACGCUGAAGAAGACAGUAUCAGAGACCCAGUAGCAAUGAAACCUCAAUUGGCACAGAGGAUUUGGGAAGAAGGACCCAGAUUUGAGUAUUUUCAGCUCUAGGUGCUGAAGAUGUUCAUGACCAAAUAGACAUGGUAGUUGAGGGAAAGAGGGUUUUAGGGAGCCCUUCUCCUUGGAAUUCUAGGGAGAAGACAUCUUACUCUUAUUGGAUCAUGCACAGUGCCUGAAGCAUUCUGUUGCAUGUAGAAGUCAGUAAAUUGCAGAUGUAAGAUUCAAAACCAGACUUCACAUCUACCGACUUCAGUGACCCUGAAAUUUGUUCACAGAGAGCAUUUAACAUAACUGUCUUCAUCAUCUCCUUCUCUACAUUAAAAAUUAUGGGCAACAGAAAGAAACUGAGGGUCUGCUAUUUGUCUCCAGAGGCCUUACAAACUGGUAGAAGAUGCAUAACAGAAGAGCUUAUGAAGUUAAAGAUGACAGCAUAGCAGCACUGUUCACAAAGACGUUAUUGGUGAUUCAAUCUUGAGUCAUGAAAAGUCAACCUUGAGCCACAAAAAGUCAACCUUGAGCCAAGCAGAUUGGAGAGUCAUACAUGCCAUUCCUGGGACCAUCAAAAAUGGCAGAGGUCACACAAAAAGGCAAAACUUUUAAGAGGUGUUUUAAACGUCGUAUGGGCCAAAGAGAAGCUGGAUUUCCUAUUGGAGUCACCUGUAACACACGUGUGACGAAAUUGGCCUGUGAGGACAAGGCAGUGAGCAGAGAGGACAGCAGUCCUUAUGAGAUCAAGCUCUAAGGUAUCCUAGACACAUUUGGAGAAUUCACCUGAGCUACAGGAUGUGGUAAGAUUUGGUGAGCAGGUGGUGAUUCUUACAGAAUCCCUCACACAUUCAUGCACAGAACUUCCCCAGCACACUCCCAGGUAGGACCACUUCCCUCUUCAUUGUGCAAAGAUUCACCACUGGUUCCAGCCUUCUCUGGCACUUUUAAGAUAUGCAUCAGGUUUUAUUCAUCUCUGAUUUUCUAGCCUCUGGCAGACUACCUGGUGUACCAGAGGCUUUGUAAGUAAUAGUUAAAUAA
ensembl:lncRNA MIR7515HG MIR7515 host gene